rnacentral:lncRNA from 10 species
AUUCAACCCAGUACACAGCUCAUGAGUCAGAUAUUAUUAUGUAGAGCACUUCUCAUUUUAAGCCCAGAAACCCUAAACGAAAAGUGGGGCUGUGCACCAGGAAUCUUCAUGCUUUUGUUUUUGUUUUUUGGGUUUAAUCCUGUGCUGGAUUAUAACCUAAGGGGGAAUACUAAUUUACUGUUCUCAAUUCCUGCUUUUUUCCUGCUUCCCAUUGCCCCUUUGUUCAUGAUUCAUUUUUAUUCUUGAUGUUUUUCUUCUGGAAUGUUCUGUGAGUUUUUUAAGGAGCAUUUUCUUACCUGUUAUCAUAACUUAUGGAAAGGGUGCCCGGGAAACAUUUGAGAAUUACUACCGAAAACAGAGGCGAAAACAGGCUCGUUUGGUACUUCAACCUCCAUCUAACAUGCAUGAAACUUUAGAUGGCUACAGGAAGUAUUUUAAUCAAAUUGUAGGCUUUUUUGUGGUUGAAGAUCACAUUUUACAUACAACCCAGGGCUUAGUAAAUAGAGCCUACAUUGAUGAACUGUGGGAAAUGGCACUUUCAAAAACCAUCGCAGCACUCCGUACCCACUCGUCUUACUGUUCUGAUCCAAACCUUGUGUUAGAUUUGAAGAACCUC